rnacentral:rRNA from 1 species
UACAGAGGGGGCAAGCGUUGUUCGGAAUUACUGGGCGUAAAGGGCGCGUAGGCGGCCUGUUAAGUCGAACGUGAAGUCCCCGGGCUCAACCCGGGAACUGCGUCCGAUACUGGCAGGCUUGAAUCCGGGAGAGGGAUGCGGAAUUCCAGGUGUAGCGGUGAAAUGCGUAGAUAUCUGGAGGAAUACCGGUGGCGAAGGCGGCAUCCUGGACCGGCAUUGACGCUGAGGAGCGAAAGCUAGGGGAGCAAACGGG